AAGUCGUAACAAGGUUUCCGUAGGUGAACCUGCGGAAGGAUCAUUAAAGAUUCGAGCUUCGGCUCUACCUCUUCAGCUGUGCGCUUCGGUUGCACGCUGUCGAAACUCUCACACCUGUGCACCUUUUCGGUUGCGGCGUUCGCGCGUCGCUUCCGCUUUACACAUUUUACUACAAAAGUCUAGAAUGUCAUAAACUAUAAAACAUAAUACAACUUUCAACAACGGAUCUCUUGGCUCUC
rnacentral:misc_RNA from 1 species